ACAGGGAGGAGACAGCAGGAUGGCACCUGGAAAGGCCUGUUUGCCGCAGAUGCAGUGAAUAUCACCCUCCUUCCUCACUGGCACCAGAGCACUGGAAGGUACAAGAGUUUAUCACAAACCCCAACACCUGUGUCUCGCCGCCAGCUGCCAGGGGACAUCGCCAGCAGCUCCCGCCACAUGGCAGCAAUGCUCUCCUUCCAGGGGCACUAGAGUCUCCGUGUGAGCACUCAGCCGCCCCACACAUCAAAUCCAGGAACAGCUGGCUCGCACCUGCCCGGGGGAAAUGAGAGUCACCCACACCCUACCUGUUAGUUGGAAAGCUGAGGACUGAAUUAUGAGUAUGGAAGAUGUCUCCAGAGUUGUGGAAGUGGACGGUGAAGGUCACAGUCAUUCCCAAAGGCAGGGCUGCCAGAGCCUCCUUGUUCUGGGUAUGCAGGGCUGGGCUCAUGGAGAGCCUCGAGUAAGACACAAGGAGACACCUGAAGACAGCGAGCGGUGUGGGGGUGACUGCCCUGGGGACCAGCCUCCCAAGGAGGAGUCACCUGUCCCCAGGGGUGCCUGCCUCAGCAGGGACCAGGGGCUGGAACGACUCAGGGGUCAUGGUCUUCUGAGUGUCCCCAGGAGCGACGAGAACCCCACCUUCCCACAGCGGGCUAGACUUAGUAAAAACAAGCCGCCCCUAUCUGCAAGAAUCAAAACCCAUGACUUUGAAAAAUUAGAUCAUUAUUCACAUUUGCCAAAACAUCCCUGGGUUUUCCAUCUUCAGAUUUCCUUUGAAAUCCUGGCUCUCAGGGUGUUUAAAGUGGAAGGUGUGCCCAUUUGGACUUCGGAGCAAGUGUCAGCCAGGAGCCACCGUGUGCCACCACAUGCUCCAGGGAAAGGGUUAUGGAGCCUAGAAACCAGUGCUCCAGAGAGUAGCCCUGGCCCUCCAAGCCUGGAAAGCAUCUAUCCUGGACGGAAAGCUCCUGUGCUCAAGAGACCCAAUCUCUUGGAUAAAGGGUGAAGGUUCCCUGCCAGGCAGUAAUUACGGAAACAAGAAGACAUUAAUUAAGGACACAGAUCUGUGACCCUGACAAACUCUCGAACAUAAAGUCACGGAUCCUGUCUGUCACCCAUGAUGCAGAAAGUGGCUGCAAUGAGACAGUGGAGGGAAAUUUGGGGACCUGACCCAAGGACGCCGAGCACAGAGUCCUCAUCACCACGGAGCAUGGGAGGGGAGAGGGACCAGAGGACACCACCCGGCUAACCAAGCUUAAGGUUACCCAGAAUCAAGGGUUCCGAGGAGAGCGCUGCUCGUGGGAGAAGGGACGGAGGGCCGAGCUCCUCUCACCAGCGGCAGGGCGCCUGUGAGGUCCACGACCGUGUCUGGGACAACCUCUCCCCUUACUGACGUGAGGCGGCCAGGCGCGGCGGAGAGCCGAGGGGGCUCUGAGUCCCAAUGCCCUGCAAGCAGCCUCCUCCC